rnacentral:rRNA from 1 species
CGUAAACGAUGAGUGCUAAGUGUUAGGGAGUUUCCCCCCUUAGUGCUGCAGCUAACGCAUUAAGCACUCCGCUGGGGAGUACGACCGCAAGGUUGAAACUCAAAGGAAUUGACGGGGGCCCGCACAAGCGGUGGAGCAUGUGGUUUAAUUCGAAGCAACGCGAAGAACCUUACCAGGUCUUGACAUCCUUUGACCACUCUAGAGAUAGAGCUUUCCCUUCGGGGACAAAGUGACAGGUGGUGCAUGGUUGUCGUCAGCUCGUGUCGUGAGAUGUUGGGUUAAGUCCCGCAACGAGCGCAACCCUUAUUGUUAGUUGCCAUCAUUCAGUUGGGCACUCUAGCGAAACUGCCGGUGACAAACCGGAGGAAGGUGGGGAUGACGUCAAAUCAUCAUGCCCCUUAUGACCUGGGCUACACACGUGCUACAAUGGACAGUACAAUGAGCAGCGACACGGCGACGUGAAGCGAAUCUCAUAAAGCUGUUCUCAGUUCGGAUUGUAGGCUGCAACUCGCCUACAUGAAGCCGGAAUCGCUAGUAAUCGCGGAUCAGCACGCCGCGGUGAAUACGUUCCCGGGCCUUGUACACACCGCCCGUCACACCACGAAAGUUUGUAACACCCAAAGUCGGUGAGGUAACCUUCGGGAGCCAGCUGCCUAAGGUGGGAUAGAUGAUUGGGGUGAAGUCGUAACAAGGUAACCA